rnacentral:rRNA from 1 species
GGUGCAUGGCAGACGGGUGAGUAACGCGUGGGGAAUCUACCUCUUUGUGGGGAAUAACGCUCCGAAAGGAGUGGUAAUACCGCAUGAGACCGCAGACUGGGAUGUUUGUGGUGAAACCUGGGGACCGCAAGGCCUGGGGCAAGAAGAGGAUCCUGCGUCUGAUUAGCUAGUUGGCGGGGUAAUGGCCCACCAAGGCGACGAUCAGUAGCCGGCCUGAGAGGGUGAUCGGCCACACUGGAACUGAGACACGGUCCAGACUCCUACGGGAGGCAGCAGUGGGGAAUUUUGCGCAAUGGACGAGAGUCUGACGCAGCAACGCCGCGUGGGUGAUGAAGGUCUUCGGACUGUAAAACCCUGUCGUCAGGGACGAAGGUAUGGGAGUUAAUAGCUCUUAUGCUUGACGGUACCUGGAGAGGAAGCCCCGGCUAACUCUGUGCCAGCAGCCGCGGUAAUACAGAGGGGGCAAGCGUUAUUCGGAAUUAUUGGGCGUAAAGGGCGCGUAGGCGGUUUUUUAAGUCAGAUGUGUAAUCCCCGAGCUCAACUUGGGAACUGCAUCUCAUACUGGGAGGCUAGAGUACUGGAGAGGGUGGUAGAAUUCCACGUGUAGCGGUGAAAUGCGUAGAGAUGUGGAGGAAUACCAGUGGCGAAGGCGGCCACCUGGACAGUAACUGACGCUGAGGCGCGAAAGUGUGGGUAGCAAACAGGAUUAGAUACCCUGGUAGUCCACACUGUAAACGAUGAACACUUGGUGUGGAGGGAGUUGACCCCUUCCGUGCCGUAGCUAACGCGUUAAGUGUUC